rnacentral:rRNA from 1 species
CCCUGGUGGCGAGUGGCGAACGGGUGAGUAAUACAUCGGAACGUGCCCAGUCGUGGGGGAUAACGUAGCGAAAGUUACGCUAAUACCGCAUACGAUCUAUGGAUGAAAGCGGGGGACCGUAAGGCCUCGCGCGAUUGGAGCGGCCGAUGUCAGAUUAGGUAGUUGGUGGGGUAAAGGCCCACCAAGCCGACGAUCUGUAGCUGGUCUGAGAGGACGACCAGCCACACUGGGACUGAGACACGGCCCAGACUCCUACGGGAGGCAGCAGUGGGGAAUUUUGGACAAUGGGCGCAAGCCUGAUCCAGCCAUUCCGCGUGCAGGACGAAGGCCUUCGGGUUGUAAACUGCUUUUGUACGGAACGAAAAGGUCCUGGUUAAUACCCGGGGCUCAUGACGGUACCGUAAGAAUAAGCACCGGCUAACUACGUGC